rnacentral:rRNA from 2 species
GGGGGCAGCUACACAUGCAGUCGAGCGGAUGAGUGGAGCUUGCUCCACUGAUUCAGCGGCGGACGGGUGAGUAAUGCCUAGGAAUCUGCCUGGUAGUGGGGGACAACGUUUCGAAAGGAACGCUAAUACCGCAUACGUCCUACGGGAGAAAGUGGGGGAUCUUCGGACCUCACGCUAUCAGAUGAGCCUAGGUCGGAUUAGCUAGUUGGUGAGGUAAAGGCUCACCAAGGCGACGAUCCGUAACUGGUCUGAGAGGAUGAUCAGUCACACUGGAACUGAGACACGGUCCAGACUCCUACGGGAGGCAGCAGUGGGGAAUAUUGGACAAUGGGCGAAAGCCUGAUCCAGCCAUGCCGCGUGUGUGAAGAAGGUCUUCGGAUUG